UGUGCUGGUGUCCCGAUGAUCACUUGGCCGCUCUCGGCGGAGCAAUUUUCGAAUGAGAAGCUGAUUACUGAUGUGCUGGGGAUUGGUGUUCAGGUUGGGAGCAAAGAGUGGGCGUCGUGGAAUAUGGAGAGGAAGGAAGUGAUUGGGAGAGAGAAGGUUGAGGCUGCGGUGAGGAAGGUGGUAGGUGGUGGCGACGAGGCGGUGGAGAUGAGGAAGAGGGCCAGAGAUCUUGCGGAGAAGGCAAAGAAAGCUGUUGAAGAAGGUGGGUCAUCAUAUGCAGAAGUGGAUGCUUUGAUUUCAGAGCUCAGGUCACUGAAGAAGAACUGAUCGUCAUGGAAUCUGGGAUUUACAAGAUG
rnacentral:lncRNA from 1 species